rnacentral:rRNA from 1 species
ACAUUUCUUUUAGAUUAUUUUAUAAGUAAAGCCUGCCCACUGUUUAAAUAAAGGGCCGCGGUAUUUUGACCGUGCAAAGGUAGCAUAAUCAUUAGUCUCUUAAUUGGGGAAUGGAAUGAAUGGUUUAAUGAUUUUUUUCUAUUAUAUUUAUUUAAAAAAUAAAUUUUAUUUUAAGUGAAAAUACUUAUUUUAUUUAAUUAGACGAUAAGACCCUAUAGAAUUUUAUUUUUAUAUAAUUAAAUAAUUUUAUAAAAGUUUAAAUGGGGCAUUUUUUGAUUAAUAAAAAUUUCUAUUAAAUUAUUUAAAAAUAUCUUUUCUUAAAUAUUUUUAAAAAAUUACCUUAGGGAUAACAGCGUAAUAAUUUUUAAGAGUUCAUAUCGACAAAAUAGUUUGCGACCUCGAUGUUGAAUUAAAAUACUUUUAUGGAGCAGCUUUUAUAUAAAGUAGUCUGUUCGACUAUUAAAAUUUUACAUGAUUUGAGU